UUAUUCGUAGAUAUUCUUUUUCCCUUGCUGUCAGCUGCUGUCAGAAAUGAAAACAACAAAAAAACACUGCUGAACGUGGCCGCUAAACUGUUUUUGAACUAUUAUAUUUUGAAGACUCUUUUUUAUUUCGUAAAUUUUUAAGGAAAUGUAUAUCCUGUUACAUGAACAAUCAACCGAUUCAAUUCCUAUAUGCCGGCUGUGCGGUACACAGUGCAUGGAUAUUUCCUACCUUGACAUAUUUGGAGAUGCUGGGCAAUUUAUGGCUUUUGCCAUCCAAAAGUAUCUUGAAAUUGACGUCUCUGAAAAGGAGGUAUGCUCCAAAACUGUUUGUCAUAAUUGUAGCGGGAGGGUUGAAGAGUGGAGUGUGUUUUACAACAAGUGUCAUGAGGUUCAGUCCCUGUUCAAAAGCCCACCUCUAAUAUUAGAGGAAUCCACAUCUGCCCAAACAGGAGAAACCCAAGCUAUUUUUCAAAGUGAAAGUGUAUCAAAUCAUCUUACAAAGUUGGUGGAAGAAUUGGUACAAGGUGGCCCUAUGGCAUCGGAAAAAAUUUCAUCUGAGGCUGUUCUUGAGGAGGCAAUGGAUGCUACGGGAAUAAAGGCUGAAGACGGCAAAGAAUUAAAUCAAGAUGAUGAUACAGAUUUUACUGAAGCUGAAGAAGAUCCAGUAUCUGAUACAGAAGAUGAGUUUGAAGAAGACUUGAACUCUGAAAGUGAUGAACAGUCUGGUGAUUCAGAAGCCAAACAAAAGCAGAAACCAAGGCAUAAGAAAUUUAUGUUUGAUAUUCCAUUCCUUGAAACAAAAUUGGGAAGAAGUUUUACUCCUACAGAAAAAACAAAGCUACAGAAGCACAUUAGCAAAAGACAGAACACCUUAAUAUAUGAAAUGCUAAUCGGUGGUGGACCUGGUCAAUUAUGGGAAUGCCAAGUUUGCCAAAAGUCCAUCAAAGGACGAGCCUGUGAAGUGACAAAACAUUAUCUUAAAACCCAUCAGGUACAGCCUAUCUUCCCAUGUCACGCAUGCGAUUACACCAGUAGGACGGAGAAGAUGUACCAGGCACAUCGCAUGAGUCACCUUGUCGAGUAUCCGUGUGAGCACUGUGGCAAGAUUUUCAGCCAGCAUUCGAGACUCGUCUAUCACAUGAAUUCACAUACCAACGAACGUGAGUUUGAGUGCGACAUUUGUCAGAAAAAAUUCAAUACUGCUCAAUACGUCAACACCCACAAACGCAAAGUUCACGGAGAUCAGGAGAAGCUACUGAAGUACACCUGCGAAUUGUGUGGUAUGCGUUUCAAGUACAAGAAUCAUCUGCAAUACCACCAGAAGAGACAUCCCACUGACGAGAAUCCUUUGCCUUAUAGCUGCAAGUAUUGCGAAGAACACUUUAUGACGCGCGCCGAGCAACUGGCCCACAGCAACACUGUGCACGCUGGCGAGGGUGAUUUUGUUUGCCAUUUAUGCGGCAAGAAGAUGAAGACGAUCCUUUCACUGGAGAAUCACGUCAAACUUCAUAGCGGUCUUAAAGAGUUCAAAUGCGACAUGUGUGACUCAGCCUUUGCCACCAAUCACAGUCUCAAGUGCCAUAAGAAGAUACACGACCGAGGGCCGGACAAUAGUUUACAGUACGUUUGCCACGUUUGCCAGAAGCCAAUGAGCAACAAAAGCUCGCUCAACCAGCAUCUGAAGACCCAUCAGAGCACGAAACCGCAUCAAUGUCAACACUGCAGUGCCUCUUUCAUUCACAAGAAUCGAUUAGAAAUUCACAUGCGGAAGCAUACGGGUGAGUUCCCUCACACUUGCGCGGAUUGUGGCAAAGGAUUUCGCAGUACGAGCAGCAUGAACAGCCACCGGCAGUACGUUCACAGCGAGCGCAAAUUCGCCUGCGAAAUUUGUCAGAAAGCCUUUAAGACAUCCAGAGAUCUGAAGGUUCAUUCGACACUGCACACCGGCGAGAAGCCCAAUAUUUGCGGCAUAUGUGGCAAGGCAUUUCGGGUGCGUGCCAAUUACUUUAAACACCGGAAAAUUCACAUGCGGGCUGCCAAUUCCAAUCGAAACGAAGUUCAGACAGAGACAGCUGGUGAAGCUCCACCUGAGGAGCGUGAACAAGAAGAAGAAGAGGACGAAGAAGAAGAAAGAGCCGGCCAAAGUGAAAUAGAAAAUGUAACCGGGUUACCGGUACAAGAAACCGUGGUCCAUCAUAAUCUUGUCCCUGUCGUGUCCGCUACAACGCCCGGUGAUUUCUUCCAGUUCGCCAACGAACAACAAUGGAUCACUUAGUAGUUGCUCGUAGUCGAUCCGUCCAUAUCCAAUCAUGCAUCUCUCCGUUGUACACAGAUAUAUCAAUGAUCGAACGUCGGGCCUUGUUUAGAUUCCCGUCCGAUAGAUGGGACACCUACGACUAUCGCUGUCUUCGUUCGAAUUCCGUCUUUAAUGUGUUCGCGUCGUGUUUCUUACCAAAAGUGUUUUCCUGGGCGGUGGGCAACGGGGCGUUGUGUGGUGUGUCAAUCGUCAGCGUUGUGAUUUCGUGGGUUGGAGCAUAACAAGACUGUUUGCCUGCUGGCCUUGGUGGCUCAGCAGCAAAUCAACGAUGGACCACCUCUUUCAUCCGCACUGCCGUUUCUUGGAUUUUUACUGUUGUUGCCUUUGAGAUUAAGGGUAGGAUGGGAGACACGGCCAGCUGAAAUACUUUAAUGGGGUCCAGCAAAAAAGAAGCUUGUUUUCCAAAUGUCGGUGGUUCAAAUAGAAGAAAACGUUUCCACGAAACCUCAUCGUUGCGUUAAAGAAAGGUAAAAAUGGCGUGGCCAACAAAGAGAGAGCCAGGGAAUGUCGUCCGUGUCUCCUCGACGACGGAAGAAUUCCAACAAGUCGAAUAACUUUGCGGUUUGCCCUCGACUAAAUUUAUUCCGGUGAGCCUCUGCUCGUCGCUUAUCUCGACGAACUCACGGUAGCAGGAAGUCUCGAUCGUGAAUGCCUCUUGAACAUUGUCGAGAUGAGCGGCCGAAACUAUGGGCUACGACACGCUCGCGCUGUUGUUAACGCGGCAUUCGAAUCUCACGAUGGUGGUAAACACGUUCAAACGACGAAAGAAGUUUUUCGGAACAAAGGGAUGAGUGAUGAAAAACAGAGAUUUUCGCAUAUUUUAUUCGAUUUUUUCUUUUUCCAGCGUCUUAUUGUGGCCGCCAGACAGUCCAGCAGACCAGCAAACCUGCGAUUACUCACCGUGAGAGCAAGAAUCUUUGCGUUUGGCAAAGGAUUCGAUAUUCUUUCGUCAAGAAAACUUGAGUCGCAAUUGGUUUUAAUGAACACAAUCGGCUCCCUAUUAACUUUCUAUUUAAAAGCGACACUAUAUAAAGUCAAGCGAGAUGACGUCGAUAUCGUGUUCUCAUUUACUUGAUGGCCGUCAAUCAUCUCAUUACCGAUAGAGUAACGUGAAGAUUAUGCGAAUAGUAUUCAAUCCAAGAUGCUGUGUUUGCCGUAAGCACGUGGGUCGGUGUAAUUACAUAAGUUCAAGAGAGAUUCUUUAUGCGCAGCAUUCGUAGGCCAGCAAGGCGUAGAAGUCGUUUGAUCAACAGUCGAUCAAUCACCACGAUAAAAAGAUUGUUGUGGAAUGUGUUCCAGGUAUCCUAGAAAGCAUUAAAAAAUUCCGUCGUUUGUUCGCAGUGGGUUUUAGAGUAUACUUUGUGAACCACAAUAAAAUACAAUGGUAUUCGUUGACGAAAAGUCGGGAUUCUUCGAAUUGAUGUACAGUAUAGUUCUGUUGCCAAAGCAAAAACAGGGGUGGCUGGUAAAGAAGAUGGCGAAUGUUUUUACCAUUAAGUUUACUUUAAAAGUAGCCUGUAUGUAUAUAUUUUUGAAAACUCUUGACAACUUGGAUGCGUGUUACGUCACCGGAAACUCGGCUGGUCGCAAAAGUCUUGACAUAUCUGAAAAGUAGAGAAACGCGCAGACCCGAAGAGUUUGUCAAAAGACUCAACGACUGAUGAGAGACGACAAGUGAGUGCCUGUUUAAAAAGAAAUAAUAAUUUCGUAUUUAGAAAGAAAGAAAAGAAACCAAGAGAAAACUCGUGUCUUUUAAAAAUUGUGAUUGUGAUGUUCUAGAUGAAACAUAACGGAAGGGAAAAGAAAAAAAAAAAAAUUCCUCCCCGACCGGAUGAUGGUGUCGCUGCGUUAACGUGGGCUGAUGUCGCGAUGGGGUCAAAAUACCCAAAAUCUUUUUCUUUUUCUUUUUUUUGUUGCUCUUUUUUUUCUUCUCAGUUGUUUUACUAAAGAGACGGCCAAAAUGUUUCAGCCAGAGUCGGUAUGCUCCGUCAAGUCGAAAACAACACUGAUGUAUCUGUUGUCGCCCUAGUGCAAAAAACUCUGAAGGAAAACUGUUCGACAAAAUCUUCCGGCCCGCGCCCAAAACUUUAAGAGAGAUAAAAUGAUUUGUUUUCUUUCUUUCUUUACAUUUUCAAACCAUUUCCACGACAGAAAAAAAUAAAAUAACUGAUUGCCGCCGUCUCAGAAUGUUAAUUGGGCGCCUCUUCCGAUUAUUGCCAUUCGUUUUAGUCUUACAUACAUUCAACAUUUGAUGAAAUUUAAACGUAUCUUGUUAUUUUUUGGGGGGGUUCAAUAAAAAUCUUAUUUAAAGUUGUGAAAUUUAAAAAACAAAAACAAGGGAGGAAGACAGUGAAAAAGAUCGCAGCAGAGUCCAGGAAUAAACUCGAGUAUAAGUAGGCUGUUAUUGGUAUAUAUCCUCUCAAUCUGAAGCGCCUCUCUCCGACGCUCUCAAACUAUACUCGAAUGUAAUGAAUGAAUCGACAGAUGGUGUGCUCGAGGUGUUGCUCCAUCCACCGAGUCACAUUGGAAUACGUUUCGCUUCUUCUUUUUCUUUUUCUCCGUGUGUGCAUCCCGGAUGCUCUUUUGCUUGUCCGCCCCAUCAGUCUAAACACGCACAGACGCACAAUAGGGCGGCCCUCUGUAUAGAAUGUCUGUGUUUGUGCUUCAAGUUGUACGAUGUUGGUCGUUUUCCACACAGCGAAAAUUAGAACCACUAGAAAUAAACCGGCUGAUGGUGUCAUUGUACAACUCCAGCACAGCGGAACCCGAACACAUCAAACCAUCCCCCAAAGAGGGUAUAGACUGUGCGAGUUAUUGCCGAGCAUCAGGUACGGCCGUGUUAAAACGGUCAUCAUUAAAUCAACAGAAGAAGAAGAAGAACAAUAAAGUAUUAGCGAGAAAUAGUUGAGAGCGGCCUGCCUAUAUUUCGGGGACUAUAGAAAAAAAGAGAUGCUAAGAAUUGUUGUUCGACGUCGGCCAUUAAACACGCUACAGUUCCUUGUGCGACUCUUGGACGCAUCGUGCCACUGCGUGACCAACAAAGUAUAAUAAUAAACCCCCUCGUGUUCGUUUUUUUUUUUUUUCUUUCCGAGCCGCCCUUUUUUUCUUUUCUCAGAAGACUUUAAAAGUUCUCCAGCAGCAAAGUAUCAUCUUCAUAUCCCAUUGAGGACUAUAAAAGCCUAAAUAGAACGAAAGAAAACAUUCUUUAUCCAAGUCGCUUGUUGUGAGUGAGACAGUGUAGUCAUAAUACUGUUGUUUGAGCAAAGCUUUGACACCGUGUAUAUACUCUGCACUAUCUUUCCUCCAACUGAAUGGCCUCGCAAAGACACGACACCAAAUGGAGAGGACACCCUUUUAUUUUUCUUGUUCCUGAUGAUUUUGACACAUUCGAAAACACGUAGCCGCAAGCCGGCAACUGUAAACGACGAGCGUGUAAAUCAUGCGUUUCUCCCCUCUCCAUUCCGUGAUGAGUAAAUGUGCCAUAGUCGAGCGUGUGUAGAUCUAUUCUUUUAUUUUCUCUCUCUUUUUUCAAAUGUUGGCGCCGCUCGCAGACAGUAAACAAUAAUCCGCAUUGGCUUUUUUUUUUAUUAUUUCGUUCACUCUCUGGCCUAUACUAAAAAGGGAAUAGCGAUAUACAAACGUUUGUUGUUUCGUUCACUUUACGAGUCGCCUCUCCCUAUUUUUCUCGUAUUUUAUAGACGCGUAUAACGUCAGCCAUUCGAAAUGGGGGCUUUUCGCUUCUUCUGCGUGUUUUCUCUGACGAGUCGUCAAAAGCAGAGUGUGCGACCUAAAGUUCUCCAUUUGCUACUACAGAAAGAGAACAACAAGAUGCAAAAGAGCAGAAGAAGAUCGCGAUAGAAGAGCUCACGCUCGAUCAACAGUUUGAAAAUAGAACGCAUUUCCCUCCCUCCGUUUUGUUGGUUUAAACUCAUAGCGAUUGUUUCCCCCCCGCACAAAAUUAAAGAAAUGCUUUGAUUUCUGCGUUCAAAACGAACAAUGUCCGUGAAACAGCUUAUAUUUUUGCUCUUGUGGCUUGACGGUCCCAUACAUACCCAUCAGUUGCAACCUAUUUCGAAAACUAUACGUGACCAACACUUUGAUUUGUUGAUUUGAACGUUACGCCAUAUAUCGCCCUGUCUUAAUAUUUGUUGCCACCUACUGUUCUUCUCCCCCCUCUUUUGCAUAUUUCCCAAUCUUUUUGCUUCGAAAUACACAAAGACACACACAAA